GAUGAACGCUGGCGGCGUGCCUAAUACAUGCAAGUCGAGCGAACAGAUAAGGAGCUUGCUCCUUUGACGUUAGCGGCGGACGGGUGAGUAACACGUGGAUAACCUACCUAUAAGACUGGGAUAACUUCGGGAAACCGGAGCUAAUACCGGAUAAUAUUUCGAACCGCAUGGUUCGAUAGUGAAAGAUGGUUUUGCUAUCACUUAUAGAUGGACCCGCGCCGUAUUAGCUAGUUGGUAAGGUAACGGCUUACCAAGGCAACGAUACGUAGCCGACCUGAGAGGGUGAUCGGCCACACUGGAACUGAGACACGGUCCAGACUCCUACGGGAGGCAGCAGUAGGGAAUCUUCCGCAAAGGGCGAAAGCCUGACGGAGCAACGCCGCGUGAGUGAUGAAGGUCUUCGGAUCGUAAAACUCUGUUAUUAGGGAAGAACAUACGUGUAAGUAACUGUGCACGUCUUGACGGUACCUAAUCAGAAAGCCACGGCUAACUACGUG
rnacentral:rRNA from 1 species